rnacentral:lncRNA from 1 species
AUCUCAUAUUUUCAGGGAGGGAAACAAUCUAGCAGACCACCUUGCAAACCAAGCUCUAGACACUGGCAACAUCGUGUGUUUUGAAUUUUUGGAACUUGAUGUCUUGAGCAGAAAGAUCGUAAAUGAUGAUAAGCUUCAAUGUGCAAAACUGAGAAUAAGGGUGGCAAGAAACUAGGGAAGGAAACUGAAGGACGUAAGGGCAUCACGACACUCACUAACGUUUGUUUCAUUUUGCAGGUAAAAGAGUCCAAAGUCUCUUGUAUCUAAUUAGAGAUACAACACAUGGAAGUCUCGACGGGAGGAACCAUCAACAAAAACGCAUCAUCACCUGGAAAUUCUAGCCAACAUUGUUGAUUUCGAUGGAUGUGUUUCCAACAACUUUUUAUUAAAGCUGUCGCAGAACAAUCAACAAAAACGCAUCAUCACCUGGAAAUUCCAGCCAACAUUGUUGAUUUCGAUGGAUGUGUUUCCAACAACUUUUCAUUAAAGCUGUCGCGCAUGUUGCUUCGGUCUUGAAAGAGUACAAGGGUCACGAUAUUAAAGCAAGUGAUUGCAACAGCUAGCUUCAGUCUUCAAUCGGGAAAUGGAAUUGAAAUUGCACGCAUGAUCUUGGAAUGUUGGAAAAAAAUUUCAACUCUCGCAUGCCCCUCUCAUCAGUUCAGCAUUGUCUCGCACGUAUAGAGACACCAUCUGUAUUCAAGCAAGUGAUUGCAACAGCUAGCUUCAGUCUUCAAUCGGGAAAUGGAAUUGAAAUUGCACGCAUGAUCUUGGAAUAUUGGAAAAAAUUUCAACUCUCGCAUGCCCCUCUCAUCAGUUCAGC